CAAGAAGCUAGAGUUCAGCUAGAUUGAAGGAAGAAGCCAUGCAGCAUCCAGUCUCUUCACAAGCACUAGACUAAGGUGCGAAGCUGAGGAAGGAGAGCCUCAAGCAGAACGAGACCCACUGAAAGACCGUUCUAAAAUAGUCCCUGUGGAGACCAGCAUGAAAUACCUGAAAAGUGAUGCUUACAAGACUACCUACGGCACAGACCCAGUAUGGAAGAGAUAUCGCAGAAAUUUUAAGGGAGCCUUUGCACCUCGCCAUACCAGGAAAACAUGCAUAGUAAG